rnacentral:rRNA from 1 species
UACGUAGGGGGCAAGCGUUGUCCGGAAUUAUUGGGCGUAAAGAGCGUGUAGGCGGUCCGGUAAGUCAGCUGUGAAAGUCAGGGGCUCAACCCCUGAAUGCGGGUGGAUACUGCUGGGCUAGAGUCCGGAAGAGGCGAGUGGAAUUCCUGGUGUAGCGGUGAAAUGCGCAGAUAUCAGGAGGAACACCGAUGGCGAAGGCAGCUCGCUGGGACGGUACUGACGCUGAGGCGCGAAAGCGUGGGGAGCAAACAGG